rnacentral:lncRNA from 1 species
ACACUGUGGAGAGGCGGAAGGCAGGGUAAGAGCCACCUAGCCAUGUCACUUUCCUGCCCUGCCCUCUCUGCUUCUACUGUGAAUGCUCCACCCACCCUGUCCUUCCCAGGAGCCCCAAGGUCUCAGCUGCCCACGCUCCCCAGUGUGAUGCCUACUCUAGCCAACCAAGAGGAGCACAAGCAAAGGAACUGUCCAUGGAUGAGGCAGAGGAGGAGCUGAGAGGAGCCAGCCUUACCAUUCUGACCACUGGGGAUUGUACCUCCUGAGCUAUAGGUACAGACUCACCUGGAUGGAACUUCUCCAGAGUGUCUCGCUGUGUCGUCUAGACUGGAGUGCAGUGGUGUG